GUGCCAGCAGCCGCGGUAAUACAGAGGGUGCAAGCGUUAAUCGGAAUUACUGGGCGUAAAGCGCACGUAGGCGGUUUUUUAAGUCAGAUGUGAAAGCCCCGGGCUCAACCUGGGAAUUGCAUUUGAAACUGGGGAACUAGAGUGUGUGAGAGGGGGGUAGAAUUCCAAGUGUAGCGGUGAAAUGCGUAGAGAUUUGGAGGAAUACCAGUGGCGAAGGCGGCCCCCUGGCACAACACUGACGCUCAGGUGCGAAAGCGUGGGGAGCAAACAGGAUUAGAUACCCUGGUAGUCC
rnacentral:rRNA from 1 species